UUACGGCUAUAUCACCUUAAAACAGUGAUUCUCAUAUGAUCACCAAAGUUAAGCAAGGUUGAGCUGGUCCAGUACCUAGAUGAGUAACCACUUGGGAAUACCAGGUACUGUAAG